AGAGCCGAUAGAUGGGGGGGGGGGGCAGGGUGGCAAAUCAUGAACGUUUGUUUAUUUAUUAUGUGGCUAAAACCAUUAUCGAGGCUUGUAUUGAUUGGAUAGAGCGAGGCUAUUGUAGUCUGAAAAUGAAUCGAUAUCAUUAAUUCUCAGCAAUGCAUUCGUUUUAUGGAUAUAAUCAAUAAAUGAAGAAAAAAAACCCAUCCACAGAAUUUUUUACCCCGUCACAGGCAUUUAGCUUGGCCCCGAUGUGUAUAUCCUAACAGGCUGCCGGGGACACGGAAGGGGGGGGGGGGCUUUCAGAACCGUCCGCGUUCCCUUCUUGAAAGAAACAGUUAUGAGAUGAAAUAAAUUGUAUACAAUUCAGUUUUAUUUUCAUUUCGACUCAACUCAAUUGAACAAAAUAUGUUUACAAAUCAAUACAUAAAUACAAAUUAAUUGGCCUCCAAUUUUCUGGGAGGUCAAUUUUGUCUUUGCACUCGCGGGCAUGAUAACCCUUUUUAUGACUUGUUAAAUAAUUCAUUUUUUUUAUGAACUUUUUCUCCGCUCACCUCCGACAAGUUCGGGAGGGGGGGGGGGGGAGUUGUGGAACAAAAAUUCCCAGUCUCCUUCAAAUUUGUUUGUAAAAUUGAGAAUGAUUCAAUUCGUGUGGAUUUUGAUCAAUAAAUUUUGAACCUGAAACUUUAUAUGGCGCAUAACUUUUUGAUUUCAGAGCGCCAAUUGACGGGUACGCCGCGCAUACACAAAUACGAAAAUCAAUAUAAAAAAAAUAAAUUAAAAAAAUGCUUUAAUUUUUUUAAAGGUUUUUAAGAUCGAGGAAGGGGCUGCGCUUUCCCAGCCGAGGGGAAAAUCGGAUCGCUGGAUACUUAGCCCCUACCAUCCGGAUUAUCAAUCAUAAAUACAGAGCUAAAAGAUGCGUACAGUAUCGUAUCACAUAUCCAAGGCCAUCAUACAUACUACGCUUUAUCCACCUCUGUAAUAUGUACAUCUCAUACCGCACCGUUCUAGAGAUACUUUCUCUCCAGAACAGAUCUUCGUAAGUGACGACAAAAUAAUUCAUAUUUUAUUUAUACAUAUUGAAUUAUUUUUUGUAAUUAAAUUAAAAUAUCAUUAUAAGAUUUUACAUAUUAUUAUUUUAAAAUCAAAUGCGUAUUAAAUGCAUAACAUGCAUCGUAGUAAAAAUACAUCUUUAUGAUUUGAAAUACAUGUACAUUCAAAUUGGCAAUGUAAAGUUAUGCACAGUAUCCGCGAAAAAUUAUGGUGGCUUAGUUUUUUUUCACGUACAGCUUAUGUACGAUCAACUACUACUACGAUAUAUAUCGAUACGCGUACCGUACCGGUACGUGUUAUAUAUACUGUGCAUGCUGCUGUUACAUGGGGACCAAAUGAAAACGGGUCGGAAAGCAAGGAUUGGUCAUUGAAUUAUUCUCAGAAAUAAGUUAUAAAGGAUGGAAAAUAUUACUUGGUGAGAAUGAAUGCUCUAAUAGCUUAUCUUCUCUUCGUGUGGAUGCACUAAAACGUUUGACAGUGCUUCAUUUCGCCAUUUUAUAUCGUUAUUUACAUUGCUUUGUCCCGUCGUCUUGUCUCCUUGGUGACUGUGAAUGGUGUUGGGUUGUGUAUGGCAGCAACGUGCGAAAGCAAUCCGGGGGCCAUGUCAACCUGUUUCGCCGACUCACUGAAUAGCACGACAGCGGCUCCCGGUCGAUUGUUUUGUGGUUUCACUCAGGAUAACUGUAAAAUUAUAUGCCUUGUGUGGGUUUCGUAGCUGGCGGAGGAUUAUACUAUACUAUCUUAUACUUAUAGGCAGGAUUUUCGGGAGGAUUGUCUGACAUAUUUAAUAUUUUCCUUGACCUAUACCCGGUACUUGGCAUCAUUUUCUUUCCCAUCUUAUUUUCAGAAUCUGUUUGGAAUGCAUCUGAAUCAGUGAUAGUAUGGAGCCUGCAUCUGCACCAUGUCCUUAGUCUGCUCAUUAUAAACCUGAUCUCAGACAAUCAACCAUGUCGGAAUCCGUUCACAGCAGUCCCAGGAAGUCGGAUGGCGGCUCUAGCGUCCGUACACACAGGACUAGCGUGGACAAGUCGAUUUCCAACUCCGAGCCGGCCCUUACCAACAACUCCGGCGUUCGGAGACUAACCGCCUAUGAGAAGUACAUGGAAGAAAUGAACAAUGACCCCAGGGCUCUUAAAGAGGUCACGCUCGGGAAGAGGAUAGCGUUUUAUAAGAUCAGGAAUGAGCUUGGGAGCGGUAACUUUUCCCAGGUCAAGAUGGGACUUCAUGCUCUUACAAAAG